UUAGUGUGAGAUUUUUUGUUUUUCUUUUUUUAUUAUAGGUAGAAUUUAGAUUUUUUUUUGUGUUUUCUUAUACUUGUAAAUUUCGGUGAUCGAAUUAGAUUAGUACCUAAUUAGGCGGAAGUUAUUUUUUUCAGGAGUAAAGUUGGGUUUAAACUGAAAUAAUAUUGGCAGAUUUUCUAAAUUAUCUUUGGAGGUUGAGUAAUAAUUGAGAACCCUCAUUAACAGCUCUUUAUUUUGGCUCAUGUAUGAUCGUUUAUUUUAUGCUUAAGGUUUUGAAUGAGAUUUUUUUUAGGUUUAAAAAUAGAUAUAUAUUUGGUUUAUUAGUGGAGUUAGCUUGACCUACAAUUUUUUAUAUAGUGGAUUUUUGUUUUAGUGGCAAUUUGAAAUUGUAAAAGACAGUAAAAAAAUUUUUAUGUUUUUUUGAAGAGUAUUUAGGAGUGGUACAAAUCAUCCA
rnacentral:rRNA from 1 species